UUUAUUUGAUAGUGCCUUACUACUUGGAUAACCGUGGUAAUUCUAGAGCUAAUACAUGCUAAAAACCCCGACUUCGGAAGGGGUGUAUUUAUUAGAUACAAAACCAAUGCCCUUCGGGGCUCUUUGGUGAUUCAUGAUAACUAUACGAAUCGCACGGCCUUGCGCCGGCGAUGGUUCAUUCAAAUUUCUUCCCUAUCAACUUUCGAUGUUUGGGUAUUGGCCAAACAUGGUUGCAACGGGUAACGGAGGGUUAGGGCUCGACCCCGGAGAAGGAGCCUGAGAAACGGCUACUACAUCCAAGGAAGGCAGCAGGCGCGCAAAUUACCCAAUCCCGACUCGGGGAGGUAGUGACAAUAAAUACUGAUACAGGGCCCUUUCGGGCCUUGUAAUUGGAAUGAGUACAAUUUAAAUCCCUUAACGAGGAACAAUUGGAGGGCAAGUCUGGUGCCAGCAGCCGCGGUAAUUCCAGCUCCAAUAGCGUAUAUUAAAGUUGUUGUGGUUAAAAAGCUCGUAGUUGAACCUUGGGCCUGGCUGGCCGGUCCGCCUCACCGCGUGCACUGGUCCGGCCGGGCCUUUCCCUCUGUGGAACCCCAUACCCUUCACUGGGCGUGGCGGGGAAACAGGACAUUUACUUUGAAAAAAUUAGAGUGCUCCAGGCAGGCCUAUGCUCGAAUACAUUAGCAUGGAAUAAUAAAAUAGGACGCGCGGUUCUAUUUUGUUGGUUUAUAGGACCGCCGUAAUGAUUAAUAGGGACAGUCGGGGGCAUCAGUAUUCAACUGUCAGAGGUGAAAUUCUUGGAUCAGUUGAAGACUAACUACUGCGAAAGCAUUUGCCAAGGAUGUUUUCAUUAAUCAGGAACGAAAGUUAGGGGAUCGAAGACGAUCAGAUACCGUCGUAGUCUUAACCAUAAACUAUGCCGACUAGGGAUCGGACGGUGUUAUUCAUGACCCGUUCGGCACCUUACGAGAAAUCAAAGUGCUUGGGCUCCAGGGGGAGUAUGGUCGCAAGGCUGAAACUUAAAGAAAUUGACGGAAGGGCACCACCAGGGGUGGAGCCUGCGGCUUAAUUUGACUCAACACGGGGAAACUCACCAGGUCCAGACACAAUAAGGAUUGACAGAUUGAGAGCUCUUUCUUGAUUUUGUGGGUGGUGGUGCAUGGCCGUUCUUAGUUGGUGGGGUGACUUGU
rnacentral:rRNA from 1 species